rnacentral:rRNA from 1 species
GGAGGAUCCAAGCGUUAUCCGGAUUUAUUGGGUUUAAAGGGUGCGUAGGCGGCUUAUUAAGUCAGGGGUGAAAGACGGUGGCUCAACCAUCGCAGUGCCCUUGAUACUGAUGAGCUUGAAUGGACUAGAGGUAGGCGGAAUGUGACAAGUAGCGGUGAAAUGCAUAGAUAUGUCACAGAACACCGAUUGCGAAGGCAGCUUACUAUGGUUUUAUUGACGCUGAGGCACGAAAGCGUGGGGAUCAAACAGGAUUAGAUACCCUGGUAGUCCACGCCCUAAACGAUGAAUACUCGCUGUUGGCGAUAUACAGUCAGCGGCUAAGCGAAAGCGUUAAGUAUUCCACCUGGGGAGUACGCCCGCAAGGGUG